CCUACGGGUGGCUGCAGUGGGGAAUAUUGCACAAUGGGGGAAACCCUGAUGCAGCGACGCCGCGUGAGUGAAGAAGUACUUCGGUAUGUAAAGCUCUAUCAGCAGGGAAGAAAUAAAGUCCUUCGGACUUUGGACGGUACCUGACUAAGAAGACCCGGCUAACUACGUGCCAGCAGCCGCGGUAAGACGUAGGGGGCCAGCGUUAUCCGGAUUUACUGGGUGGAAGGGGAGCGUAGACGGCGGCGCAAGUCUGGAGUGAAAUCCCAUGGCUUAACCAUGGAACUGCUUUUGAAACUGGGCAGCUAGAGUGCAGGAGAGGGAAGCGGAAUUCCAAGUGUAGCGGUGAAAUGCGUAGAGAUGAGGAGGAACACCAGUGGCGAAGGCGGCUUACUGGA
rnacentral:rRNA from 1 species